UGUAUUUAGAGGAAGUAUAAGUCGUAACCACGGUCUCCGUAGGUGAACCUGCGGAGGAAUCAUUU
rnacentral:rRNA from 1 species